GGGGAAUUUUGGACAAUGGGGGAAACCCUGAUCCAGCCAUCCCGCGUGUGCGAUGAAGGCCUUCGGGUUGUAAAGCACUUUUGGCAGGAAAGAAACGUCGCGGGUUAAUACCCCGCGGAACUGACGGUACCUGCAGAAUAAGCACCGGCUAACUACGUGCCAGCAGCCGCGGUAAUACGUAGGGUGCAAGCGUUAAUCGGAAUUACUGGGCGUAAAGCGUGCGCAGGCGGUUCGGAAAGAAAGAUGUGAAAUCCCAGAGCUUAACUUUGGAACUGCAUUUUUAACUACCGGGCUAGAGUGUGUCAGAGGGAGGUGGAAUUCCGCGUGUAGCAGUGAAAUGCGUAGAUAUGCGGAGGAACACCGAUGGCGAAGGCAGCCUCCUGGGAUAACACUGACGCUCAUGCACGAAAGCGUGGGGAGCAAACA
rnacentral:rRNA from 1 species